rnacentral:rRNA from 1 species
GGGUGACAGGUGGUGGCAUGGUUGUCGUCAGCUCGUGUCGUGAGAUGUGGUUAAGUCCCGCAACGAGCGCAACCCUCGCCUCUAGUUGCCAGCAUUCGGUUGGGCACUCUAGAGGGACUGCCGGCGACAAGUCGGAGGAAGGUGGGGGAUGACGUCAAAUCAUCAUGCCCCUUAUGACCUGGGCUACACACGUGCUACAAUGGGCGGUACAAAGGGCUACGAACCCGCGAGGGGGAGCGAAUCCCAAAAAGCCGCUCUCAGUUCGGAUUGCAGGCUGCAACUCGCCUGCAUGAAGCCGGAAUCGCUAGUAAUCGCGGACCAGCAUGCCGCGGUCGAAUACGUUCCCGGGCCUU